rnacentral:rRNA from 1 species
UACGUAGGGACCAAGCGUUGUUCGGAUUUACUGGGCGUAAAGGGCGCGUAGGCGGCUUGACAAGUCACUUGUGAAAUCUCCGGGCUUAACUCGGAACGGCCAAGUGAAACUGUCAUGCUAGAGUGCAGAAGGGCAAUCGGAAUUCUUGGUGUAGCGGUGAAAUGCGUAGAUAUCAAGAGGAACACCUGAGGUGAAGACGGGUUGCUGGGCUGACACGUGACGCUGAGGCGCGAAAGCCAGGGGAGCAAACGGG